GACGAACGCUGGCGGCGUGCUUAACACAUGCAAGUCGAACGAUGAAGCCGGAGCUUGCUCCGGUGGAUUAGUGGCGAACGGGUGAGUAACACGUGAGAAAUCUGCCCUUGACUCUGGGAUAACUGCGGGAAACUGUAGCUAAUACCGGAUACGACACCUUGGGGCAUCCCAGGGUGUGGAAAGAAUUUCGGUCAAGGAUGAGCUCGCGGCCUAUCAGCUAGUUGGUGAGGUAAUGGCUCACCAAGGCGACGACGGGUAGCCGGCCUGAGAGGGUGACCGGCCACACUGGAACUGAGACACGGUCCAGACUCCUACGGGAGGCAGCAGCGGGGAAUAUUGCACAAUGGGCGAAAGCCUGAUGCAGCAACGCCGCGUGAGGGAUGAAGGCCUUCGGGUUGUAAACCUCUUUUAGCAGGGAAGAAGCGAAAGUGACGGUACCUGCAGAAAAAGCACCGGCUAACUACGUGCCAGCCGCCGCCGUAA
rnacentral:rRNA from 1 species